rnacentral:rRNA from 1 species
GAUGAACGCUGGCGGCGUGCCUAAUACAUGCAAGUCGAGCGAACGGACGAGAAGCUUGCUUCUCUGAUGUUAGCGGCGGACGGGUGAGUAACACGUGGAUAACCUACCUAUAAGACUGGGAUAACUUCGGGAAACCGGAGCUAAUACCGGAUAAUAUUUUGAACCGCAUGGUUCAAAAGUGAAAGACGGUCUUGCUGUCACUUAUAGAUGGAUCCGCGCUGCAUUAGCUAGUUGGUAAGGUAACGGCUUACCAAGGCAACGAUGCAUAGCCGACCUGAGAGGAUGAUCGGCCACACUGGAACUGAGACACGGUCCAGACUCCUACGGGAGGCAGCAGUAGGGAAUAUUCCGCAAUGGGCGAAAGCCUGACGGAGCAACGCCGCGUGAGUGAUGAAGGUCUUCGGAUCGUAAAACUCUGUUAUUAGGGAAGAACAUAUGUGUAAGUAACUGUGGACAUCUUGACGGUACCUAAACAGAAAGCCACGGCUAACUACGUG